CGAGGGCGUCGACCGGGCCCGUCUGGUGGUCGAGCACAUCGCACAGGUGGACGACGACACCUGGCGCCAGUUCGGGCCCGGCGCCGUCGGC
rnacentral:tRNA from 1 species